AUACGGAGGGUGCGAGCGUUGUUCGGAAUUACUGGGCGUAAAGGGCGCGCAGGCGGCUUGAUAAGUCAGAUGUGAAAGCCCACGGCUCAACCGUGGAAGUGCAUCUGAAACUGUCUGGCUUGAGUACUGGAGAGGAAAGUGGAAUUCCUGGUGUAGAGGUGAAAUUCGUAGAUAUCAGGAGGAACACCGGUGGCGAAGGCGACUUUCUGGACAGAUACUGACGCUGAGGCACGAAAGCGUGGGGAGCGAACAGGAUUAGAAACCCUAGUAGUCC
rnacentral:rRNA from 1 species